GAUGCAGAACGUAGCGAAAUGCGAUAAGUAAUGUGAAUUGCAGAAUUCAGUGAAUCAUCGAAUCUUUGAACGCACAUUGCGCCCCCUGGUAUUCCGGGGGGCAUGCCUGUUCGAGCGUCAUUUCACCACUCAAGCCUCGCUUGGUAUUGGGCAACGCGGUCCGCCGCGUGCCUCAAAUCGACCGGCUGGGUCUUCUGUCCCCUAAGCGUUGUGGAAACUAUUCGCUAAAGGGUGUUCGGGAGGCUACGCCGUAAAACAACCCCAUUUCUAAGGUUGACCUCGGAUCAGGUAGGGAUACCCGCUGAACUUAAGCAUAUCAAUAAGCGGAGGA
rnacentral:misc_RNA from 1 species